UUGACUAUACUUUCAGGGAUCAUUUCUAUAGUUCAUUACUAGAGAAGUUUCUCAGAAUGUAUAGAGAGAGAAAAAAAAGAAUCCACAGAUAUAUUCAUGUUCCUACUGCCAGA
rnacentral:snoRNA from 10 species